rnacentral:lncRNA from 1 species
AUCACGCGAGCGUUGUGUCUCGGCUGGCGGGAGCCGGGGACGGGAAAGGAGAGUGCUCGUUGCUCUACAGGGUGGCUCCCAUUUUUAUAGAAGAGGAAAUGGAAGUACAAUGUAGUAAAACAAAUUGCCCUAAUUCACACAGCUACUGAGAAGCCAUUGGGGUUACGGACUCAGGCAACUGGACUCCACUGCCACUGUUAGGCCAAUUCGAGAUCCUGCCACUUUGUAUAAUUAUCUUGCUUGUGUUAACAUUGUAGGUAGGCUUUGUGUAAUACUGGGCAUACAGACAUUAUGCUAAUAUGACUCCAUAACACCUGACUGCAAAACCUAAAGAGGAUGCUAAUAUGACUCCAUAACAGCUGACUGCAAAACCUAAAGAGGAUGCUAAUGUAACUCCAUAACACCUGACUGCAAAACCUAAAGAGGAUGCUAAUAUGACUCCAUAACACCUGACUGCAAAACCUAAAGAGGAUGCUAAUAUGACUCCAUAACACCUGACUGCAAAACCUAAAGAGGAUGCUAAUAUGACUCCAUAACACCUGACUGCAAAACCUAAAGAGGAUGCUAAUGUGACUCCGUAAC